rnacentral:tRNA from 1 species
GCCUUGGUGGUCUAGUGGUUAAGAUUCAGUGCUCUCACCGGUGCAGUCUGGGUUCAUUUCCCAGUCAGGGAA